rnacentral:tRNA from 1 species
CGCCGCGUAUCGCAAUGGACAACGCGUCGGUCUACGGAACCGAAGGCCGGAGGUUCGAAUCCUGCCGUGGUCG